UGGUGAUUUUUUGAUAAGGAAAAAUAAGGGAUUGGGCCUUUAAAUAAAUCUCUUCUAGAAGAAUUUGAGAUCGAUUUCAACUUAGAUUCUUGAGUGGUUUUGGGUUUCCCAAUCGGAAGAGAACUCCUUUGGGAGUUCUCCAUGUGUUUCAAGCUCUCAACAUGAUCCAGCUUUCCCAACACGUGCAGAGCACUGCUGGCAUUAAUUCAUUAAUUUUUUUUUUAAAGCCUACUUUAAGAUGCA
rnacentral:lncRNA from 1 species